UUUGAAUAUAAAUAAUUACUGCCAUUGUUGCCACCACAGACACCACCACUGCUAACACUACUAAGGCUAGUAUUGCUGCACUUUUUUUAAAAGAUAAAAAAAUAAAUAAUUGAGUGUUUAUUUUCUCAUUUGUUUCUGUAUUUUCCUCUAACGAGCAUUAAAAAAAGCAAAAAAAUGUUUAAGUAAAAUGAAGCAGAACAAAAUGCAAAAGAAGAGAGAGAUGAAGAAAAAUAUGCAAAUUUCAAAAUAAAAACAAGUAAAUCUAAUAGGUAAACAAAUUUCAAAUCUCUCAACCAAACACUUUUUUUUUUCUGUCACCAUCUUUUCCUUUCUCCAUUAACUCCGGCAGCGAUGGCGGUGACUGUGUGUGAUAGCCAAGACUCCGAUCAAUUCGAUUUCACUGCCCUUCUUGUAACUCCGGCGACGACGACGGUGGCUGUUGUAAUCUUUAUUUCCUUCAAUUUUCUUUUAUUAUAUGAGAUUAAGUUUUGGAUUUGAUGGAAUUUGAAGGAGGACAAUAUUUGGAUUCUGGUGUUUUUGAUAGGUAUCUUAAUUUGAGUUUUAGUGUAAAAUUUAAAGGGAAGAUUUUAGAGAUGUUGGUGGUUUGUUGGUGUUGAUCUGCCAUUGAUGGCUGUGGAGCUUAGCUAUUGGAUUUUAUUGUUGAAAGGGGAGGAAAAAGACAUGCUUGGUUGCGAAGCAAAUGACCUUUUCGGGGAUGUCUAGAUCUAACGUUAAAGUUUAUUUUGUGAGUGAGGGCAUUUUCGAAAUUCCACAAUUAUUAAAUAGAAGGACCUUUCUAUUGAUGAGAUUAAAAUUUAGGGAUCUAAAAGUUGAUUUUUGAAAAAUUGAUAUCUUCAAGCGUUAGUUAGGUAAAAACUUAAGAAUCCCGUGUAGUCG
rnacentral:lncRNA from 1 species